UACAGAGGGUGCGAGCGUUAAUCGGAAUUACUGGGCGUAAAGCGCGCGUAGGCGGCUUUGCAAGUCGGGUGUGAAAUCCCCAGGCUCAACCUGGGAACUGCAUUCGAGACUGCAUUGCUAGAGUAUGGGAGAGGGAAGUGGAAUUUCAGGUGUAGCGGUGAAAUGCGUAGAUAUCUGAAGGAACAUCAGUGGCGAAAGCGACUUCCUGGACCAAUACUGACGCUCAUGUGCGAAAGCGUGGGGAUCAAACAGG
rnacentral:rRNA from 1 species